GACGAACGCUGGCGGCGUGCUUAACACAUGCAAGUCGAACGAUGAAGCCGGAGCUUGCUCUGGUGAAUUAGUGGCGAACGGGUGGGUAACACGUGAGUAACCUGCCCUUGACUCUGGGAUAACUGCUAGAAAUGGUAGCUAAUACCGGAUACGACCCUCGGAGGCAUCACCAGGGGGUGGAAAGAAUUUCGGUCAAGGAUGGACUCGCGGCCUAUCAGCUAGUUGGUGAGGUAACGGCUCACCAAGGCGACGACGGGUAGCCGGCCUGAGAGGGUGACCGGCCACACUGGGACUGAGACACGGCCCAGACUCCUACGGGAGGCAGCAGUGGGGAAUAUUGCACAAUGGGCGCAAGCCUGAUGCAGCAACGCCGCGUGAGGGAUGACGGCCUUCGGGUUGUAAACCUCUUUUAGUAGGGAAGAAGCGAAAGUGACGGUACCUGCAGAAAAAGCACCGGCUAACUACGUGCCAGCAGCCGCGGUAA
rnacentral:rRNA from 1 species